rnacentral:rRNA from 1 species
AUGCUAAAGAAACAAAUGCAAAGGCAUCUUUUGCUUGUAUAUAAGCGGAAGAAACUAAUACGAGUAUUGUCAGUGAAUGAAAGUGUGCAGCUGAGCUGUUCUGGGCUGGUUCUGGUUCGUCGCCCUUGGCCUCCCCUCUUUCCCUCCCUCUUCCCUUUACCCCCCUACUCCGUCCAGUUCCUUUUGCCACGCCACCGUUGCGCCUCACCCAACGUCAACUCCGGUGCUCACCCCACAAGCAAGUACCACCAGCUCCUCGUCCUCCUCCUCUGCCCAGUCUCUACUACUGCAGACAGUACAGUGAAAUUGGUUCAAAAGGUAAGUAAAUUAAGGUGA